CCCCUUCCCAAACCCGCGCCGCGCCCCUAUAUUUCCCCUGUCCCCUUGGGGACUAUGGACAUAAACGCGCUCGUAAUAAGCGGAUCGGACCCGGGGGCGGUACCCGGCGGCUCCACCAAAAAUCCCCGUCGUUGGAGGGUUCAUGGGGCCGAAAUAGGAUCGACGAACGUGUAAAGGGGUUUGCUUUGUCCCGGUGAGGUACCACCGUUAUCGGUCCGAAAAGCAUAAUUGCCAACGACAAUCGUGCUCCGGUCGCUCUCGCCGCUUAAUGCGGUGCGAAAAGCCGAAAUCUAAGCCCUGAGGCCUAGCCGCCUCAGGCGGGGUUCGCAGGCGCCUGGCAACAGAAGCCUGCACU
rnacentral:tmRNA from 1 species